rnacentral:rRNA from 1 species
AAGUCGUAACAAGGUUUCCGUAGGUGCAAGAGUUCGCCUACCGCAUGCUCAUGCGCGGUCUGCACCCGAAGGUGCAGGCAACACCGUUCAAAUGCUGGGCGUGCCGGGCGCAAGCCCGUCACCAUCAGCAGCCGGCGCUCCGGCGCCCGGCCCACAGAUCAUCCGACGGUGACCUAUCGAGAGGUUAAGAUAUGAUCGGUCCCGGCCCGCUCUGGGCCUUGGGAGGCACGGAACCUGCGGAAGGAUCAUUACCGAGAGACGGGACCUAACCGGUCCCAACUCUUCACCCCUGUCUACCAAAAUAUGUUGCUUUGGCGGGCCAACCGGCCUCCUCGGGGAAGGCCAACCCCUUCUCGUGCCCGCCAAAGGCCUUCAAUAAACCCUGUGAUCAGUGUCGUCCGAGUAAAAACAAUCGUUAAAACUUUCAACAACGGAUCUCUUGGUUCCGGCGUCGAUGAAGAACGCAGCGAAAUGCGAAAAGUAAUGUGAAUUGCAGAAUUCCGCGAAUCAUCGAAUCUUUGAACGCACAUUGCGCCCUUUGGUAUUCCGAAGGGCAUGCCUGUUCGAGCGUCAUUGCACCCCUCAAGCACUGCUUGGUAUUGGGCUUCGCCCCUGCGGCGGGCCCGGAUUCUAGUGGCGGUCCAGCGAGACUUCAAGCGUAGCAAGAUUAUCACAUCCCGCUUAGCAAGCCUUUUCGCUGCGUGCCGGCCAGACAACCCUAUACCAUUCCAAUGAUUGACCUCGGAUCAGUAGGGAUACCCGCUGAACUUAA